AAGCUGCGGCAGCGACACUAUGUGUUGUUGGGUAGGGGAGCGUUCUGUAAGCCUGCGAAGGUGUGCUGUGAGGCAUGCUGGAGGUAUCAGAAGUGCGAAUGCUGACAUAAGUAACGAUAAAGCGGGUGAAAAGCCCGCUCGCCGGAAGACCAAGGGUUCCUGUCCAACGUUAAUCGGGGCAGGGUGAGUCGACCCCUAAGGCGAGGCCGAAAGGCGUAGUCGAUGGGAAACAGGUUAAUAUUCCUGUACUUGGUGUUACUGCGAAGGGGGGACGGAGAAGGCUAUGUUAGCCGGGCGACGGUUGUCCCGGUUUAAGCAUGUAGGCUGGUUAUCCAGGCAAAUCCGGAUAAUCAAGGCUGAGGUGUGAUGACGAGGCACUACGGUGCUGAAGUAACAAAUGCCCUGCUUCCAGGAAAAGCCUCUAAGCAUCAGGUAACAUCAAAUCGUACCCCAAACCGACACAGGUGGUCAGGUAGAGAAUACCAAGGCGCUUGAGAGAACUCGGGUGAAGGAACUAGGCAAAAUGGUGCCGUAACUUCGGGAGAAGGCACGCUGGUGUGUAGGUGAAGCCCCUGCGGGUGGAGCUGAGACCAGUCGAAGAUACCAGCUGGCUGCAACUGUUUAUUAAAAACACAGCACUGUGCAAACACGAAAGUGGACGUAUACGGUGUGACGU
rnacentral:rRNA from 1 species